UUAUUCUUAAGUUACAAUGAGAAAAUAAUGUUACAAUGAGAAAAUAAUAUCUAAUGGUUGGGUGAUGAGUACUAAAUGACAUAAACUAAUUUUCUUGCCUAAAACAAACAUGACAAUUUUAGUGAUAAAAAUUAAUGUAGCGAGUUGAACAAAAUAAUAUGACAUGAAACAUGAUAAUAAAAAGGCAAGUUUAAGUGAAAGAUGGUUCAUCAUAUAACAAAAGACAGGGGCGGAGCUUCCUUGGGACUAAGGGGGGCCGCGCCACCCCAAAAAAAAAAAAUUAUAAGUACAAUGACUAAAAUGUCCAUUUUAAAAUUAAAAAAUUACAAAACAUACCUAAACCUAAUUCAGUUUUCUGUUUAUUUCUCUCUCUUCCAUCCAGCCUUCCUCUCUCCCUCUCUCUCUUUUGCUUACAAGUUCCAGCCUUCCUCUCUCCCUCCUCCAUAAUCAGAUUCAUGAAUCAAGACAAACGUGCGGUCGUCUCUCUACGACAAUCGCUCGUCUGCUCGCUCACGAAAUCGCUCGCUGCGGCCAAUCGUUCGUCUGCCUGACUGCCUCUGUCCGUGGCCAUUCGUCGCUGCCUCUCUACUCGCCGCAACCUCAUCAGUCAUCUGUCUCUAGAUCUUGUUGCUGCUUUGUUCAAAAUGUUCGAAUUUCUAUUUUGUUAUUGCUGAUUUUUGUUAGUUAGUGUCGAUUUUUGUUAGGUUUGAUAUUUUUUAGCAUAAAAUUUAAAACUUAUAUUGUUAUUGUUGAGUUUAGAGUUUUGAUUUGGAGUUUGAAAUUUUGAUUUGGAGUUUUAAUUAGCAGAUUUUUGUUUAGAGUUUUUGUGUUGCACAUAAGGUGUUUGAAUUUAUGUCAGUAUAAAGUGUUUGAGUUUUUUUUUGUCUCACAUAAGGUGUUUGAUUUUAUGUGUUUGAUUUUUUUUUUUGCAUACAAAGUGUUUGAGUUUUGUUGCAUUUUUGUUUGAGUUUUUUUGUCUAUAUAAAGUGUUUUAUUUAUUUUUUUUGAAUAUAAGAUGUUUUAUGUUUAUUAAAUUGAUUGAUUUAGAUAAGUUUGUGAGAAUGAAGAAGAGUAGAAGAAUUGAUUAUUUUUUCAUGAGGAAAAUUUGUGAGAGUGAAUUAUGUCAGCCACUCCAAAUUUUUCAGUCAAGUUCCGCCAUUGACAAUAGAUCAUACUUUAUUUAAUAUAGUAAGUGGGAAACAAAAUAAUUCAUAGAUGCAUGUUUCUAGUUUUCAUGGAGAUUCCAUGUUUCAAUGUCCUCUUUUCCUAGGUUUAUUACCAUUUUCUCCUUCACCUUUGUCUCCGUUAUCGUGGUUUCCUCCAUUGUCGUCUUCUUCAACGGGUGGCUCACUAUCGUGGUAUCCCAUGCCACCAAAGUUGUAUAUCAUGCUCUGUACCCAUUCUGAUGCCCAACCCAAUGCCAAAUCUCUCAAAGUUCUCCAAUCUACAAACCUUCUUAUUAAAGUACUAUAUUCGGAUUGCUCAGCUGCCACAAUAGUCAUAAGAAGGGGAACACAUAGAAAGAAUACUAAGAUAAAAAAUUUUGUUUUCAUCCCUUGCUUAAAUUUCUUAAAGUUUCUUGUAAAAUAUGAAUAAUAUCCUCAAAUAUUUAUAGUGAUCACGCAUAGAAAAAAUAAGAUAAUUUUAAAAGACAAAAACAUAUUGAAGAAAAUUAUAUUGCGUACUAAAAAAAAAGACAAUAUGUAUUCUAUGGCCAAUUGCGAAGACAAUGGGUCAUCAAGAUCCAUAGAGCCAUGGAAAAGUUAAAUAAAUUAGAACAUGUUUGCCUUUUGGAUCAUGAUAAUUUGACGAUCAAAGAGACGUUUUAUCCAAUUAAUCUUUUCUAAAAAGUUGCUUUUGGUAAAAUUGUUUCAGAAAAUAGAAUUUAAAACUAGGGAGUUGUAAAAUUUGACUUCCUAAUAAAUUUAGGAUUAAAGUGAUGUAAUGUCCAAUUAAUUCUAAAUGAAUGAUUUAUUUUGACUAUUAAAUGUUUUAAUAUUGGAAUAUUAAAUUUUUAGUAUCUAAAAAAUUUUGAAAUUUUAAUUUUAGUACUUAUUAAAAAAAAUUAUAUUUUUUAGUUUCUACAAAAUUGUUAUGUAAACAGUUUAAUUUAUACCAUAUUGGAACAUCAAUAUAAAUAUUUAAAUACUUUUUUUUUUGCAUACAUGCUGACAUUAUAAAAAGUUCAACAUAAAAAAUGAUAUCAAAAUUCAAUUUCUAGAUCUAUAUUUUAAAGACUUUUAUCUUAAAUAGACGACGUUUAAUUAAUUCAUCCCAAAUUAAAAAAAAAUUAUAUGAAUUAAUUUUUAAUAAUAUUCUAAACAUGCUUACAAUAUUAUUCAAAUAUUUAAAAGUUGAAGAAUAUUUUAUUUCAUCAGAGACUAAAAUAAUUUGAUUAAUAAUUUUAUAGGAAUUAAAAAAAAUGUAUGCAUACAUAAAAAAAUAAAAAAUUAUCAUCUUGGUUCUAAGAACACAACUAAAACAAAUCAAACGAUAACUUCUCGUUUUGAUUAUGAGUUAUAUUUGGUAUUUGUAAUAUUUUAUUUUAUUUUUACAUCUUACCUUAUUAUGAGUUGAUAUAAUUAUUCUGUAAAUUAUUGGUGAUAAUUAUUAUUGUAAUGUGUUAUUUUAAUUUUUAAUAAUAAUAAUAAUAAUAAUAAUAAUAAUAAUAAAAAAGGGAAUCGUUAAAAACAAAUUUCAGACGCUGGAAAUACACGUUUCCCAUUUAAUAUCACGUUUUCUAUUUAAUACCAUCCCUUUAAUACACGUCCCCAUAUAAUAACACACGUUACCCACUUCUAAUGAUAAAAAAGGAAUAAAACAAAACAUAAAAAGAAAUAAAACAAAAACGGGUUUCAGGGAGAAAAAGAAAGAAAUUCAAGAACUAAAUGAGUUACUGAUUCAUCCCUCAAGUAUAACACAUUUGAAGCAAAGACCACUGCGUGAAAAUUUUAAUUACGACACUCAUAUUGAUAAGGGGCAUGACUCCAUCCGCUUUUCUAAUUGAAUUAUUGUUUGUGUGUUAUAUUCGAAAUGAAUAUUAAUAAUUGUUGUGUUUGACAUGUUCAAAAUGUGGAAAAUAAAUGUUAUGUGAUAUGUUGUUAUAAUGGUUGUGUUGAGCAUAUUCAUAGUGUGAAGAAUAAAUGUUAUGUGAUAUGUUGUUAUAAUGGUUGUGUUGAACAUAUUUAAAGUGUGGAAAAUAAAUGUUAUGUGAUAUGGUGUUAUAAUGUUGUGUUAAACAUAUUCAAAGUGUGAAGAAUAAAUGUUAUGUGAUGUGUCGUUGAUAAGUUAGUAUCGCAUUAUAUUUUAUUAGAGUGUACACGAAGCCCUUGCGGGGGAAGCGAUAUUUCGGAAUCAUUAUAUAGAUUAAGUAAUAAGGUUUGUUGGAUAUGCAUUAAUUAAACUGUAGUGUGACUAGUGUUUUGUAAAGAUAACUGAUACAUUGUAUCUCCUGGUUUUUGUGAAUUAAAGUUAUAAAAAAUGUGAUAUUGUAUCUCCUGGUUUUGAGUGAAUUAACGUUAUUAAAUAUGUGAUAGUGUACUUCUAUAUCUUAUUAUUAAUUAGGUAGAUAUGGUAAUGUUAUAUUUGUAUUGUCAAUGUGGUUAGUCGUUUGAGUGAAUUAAUGUUAUUAAUUAUGCAAACAUUGUACUGUUAUCUUUUCAUUGUUAUUAUAUCUUUAAUGCGUUGUGAUUUUUAAUUGUUAAAUGGAGUACAUGAUUUACUUAUAUUUUUGCUAUAACAACUAUAUAUGCAUGCAUAUUUGCUAUGUGUUUGUUAUUUUGAGAUGACCCUUAUAUUUGACAGGACGUUACAUAUAGUGCUAUGUGUUUGUUAUAUUUUCAUUGUUAUUAUACCUAUUGGUGCGUUUUGAUUUUUAACUGUUAAAUGAAGUACAUGAUUUAUUUAUAUUUUUGCUAUGAUAUCUCUAUAUGCAUGCAUAUUUGCUAUGUGUUUGUUAUUUGGAGUUGACCCUUACAUUUGACAGACUUGUUGGGUUAGCUUACCAAAAGUCCGAAGUUUAUGACCAACUGAAUUUAUGCUUGGGUAGUAAAAUAUCAACAGUUUUGGCUAUAGGAGUCUCUUUUGUUUAAUAUAUUAAAUUUAAAUUGUAAAUAUUUUGAUUCUUUAUUUUUGAAAAUAUAACUAAAAAUAUUAUUAAAUGAUUUUAAGAUAAAUGAGUAUUUAAAAUAAUUACAAAUGAAUAAAAGCAAAUUUGUAUUUUUACGUAUAGAAUUUUGUUAGUUAAUGUCCCGAAAAAGCAGGAUGUUAGUCUUGGUUAGCAUCCUUCUAAUCUGCUGUUGGGGAAUUCCUUGUGCCUUCAUUUUAUUGAAUGGAUUUUUCUUUGUCCGAAGAAGAACAAACCAUUGUUGAGUGUUUGCCGUUAUAACCAAUUAUUAAAAUAGAGUAAUAUUAAUGGAAAUGCACAAUUGCUCCUGCGAUCCCUUAACUUAAUUUUAGAUAACACUUUAAUUUUUUUUAAUUGGUCUUUUAUUUAAUAUUAUUACAAAAAUUCGAAAAUAUAAAGAAUGAAAAUAUGAGUUUAUUUAAAGAUUUAAGAUAUUUCAUCGACGUUGUUUCCAUAAAUUAUGAUCUCAUCAACAUAUAUCACUAAGGCAGUAAAGGACGAGCAAAUGGAUUUAAUGAAUAAAGAAUGAUAUGAAUUAGAUUGAGUAUACUCUUUUGAAAUGAGAGUGGAGGAAAGUCUAGCAAACCAUUGCUUACUAGACUAUUUUAAACCAUAAAGAGGUUUUUGAAGUUUACAAACAAUAUUUGGAUUAUGAGCCAAUAACCCAAGUAACAAUUGCAUAUAGACUUCCUCUUCUAAAUUGCCAUGUAAAAAAGCAUUGUAAACGUCUAACUUAUGAAAAUGUCAAUUAUGAGAUGAUACAAGAGCAAGUAAGAGUCUUACGAUAAUGAGCUUAGCUAAAGUGAAUAAGUAUCAAAAUAAUCAAUUCCUUCAAUUUGGUUAAAACAUUUGGCAACAAGGCGUGCCUUAUAAUGUAUUAUAGAACCAUCAGCGUUAUAUUUUACCUUAUAAACCCAUCGACAACCUAAGGGCUUUUUAACACGUGGCAACUUAGUAAGAGUCCAAGUGUUGACUGAUAGAUUGCAUGGUCUGAACCUAAUUAUUAUAUGUGACAACUUGUUUAAAGCUAGUAGGGUCACGAACAACAGAAAUAAAGGAAAUAAAAUGAUAGAAAAAUUAUGACAAUUUUGACUAAGAUAAGACCUGGUAUAAACGAACAACAGAAAUAAAGGAAAUAAAAUGAUAGAAAAAAUAUGACAAUUUUGACUAAGAUAAGACCUGGUAUAAAUGAUACAAUAUAUUGGACUUAUGGCACCUAUCAUGUGCAAAAUUUCACUCAAAAUCUUGUAAGUAAGCAGGGACCUUGUUAGACCUUGAAGACCUACGAAUAGUAUCUUGAUGCUCAUCAAAAUCAAAGAUAGGGGAAGUAUGUAAAUUGUUGGGACUAGUAUCAAGACUAGAUGAAGGAGUUGGAGCAAAUAUAAUACUAUCAUCAGUGGAGUUAUUAACAUAAACAAUUAUUAGGCAAAAGCAUAUUAGUAUCAUCAAACAGAAUAAAGGAAUCGUGAGAAUCAUCAUUAAUAUGCAAGGAAGUAGAAUUAAGAUUAACAUAUGGAAAAACAUAUUCAUAAAAAUCUACAUUCCUAGAAACAAAGGUGACAUGGGUAUGUAAAUCAAACAUCAAAUAACUUUUAGUUCCUUAUCUAAAUCCAAGGAAAAUACACUUGGUGGCCCUUGGAUAAAGUUUAGUGCUAUAAUCACUACGCGAAAAAACGCAUUUUACAGCGCUUUUUUUAAGCCAUUUACAGCGCUUUUUCAAAAAAAUAAGCGCUGUGGAAACGAGCGCUGUAAAUGAUACAACAACGCUUUUAAAAAAGCGCUAUAAAACAUGUAAAUACAACGCGCGCUUGUUAUGCACAUUUUACAGUGCUUCUUCACAAAAAGCGCUGUAAUAUGCACCCCAUUAUAUGAGUUAUGGGUGUUCAUUUUACAGCAAAGCGCUCUAAAAUGCACACCCAUAACUCAUAUAAUGGGGGGCAUAUUACAGCGCUUUCUCAAACAAGCGUUGUAAUAUGCCCAACCAUAAUUUCAUAUAUGGGUGGGCAUAUUACAGCGCUUUUUUGAGAAAGCGCUGUAAAAUGCCCACCCAUAAUUUCAUAUAUGGGUGUGCAUAUUACAGCGCUUUCUCAAAAAAGCGCUGUAAAAUGCCCACCCAUAAUUUCAUAUUAUGGGUCUGCAUUUUACAGCGCUUUUCUUGUACAUUUUACAGCGCUUUCUCACGAAAGCGCUGUAAAAGGUGCACCAUUAAAGCGCUUUAGAACAACAUUUUACAGUGCUUUGUAAAAAAAGCGCUGUAAAAUGUGUGUUUUUUUUUUUUAAACGUUGUAAAUUAAUUAUUUGAAACGAAAAACGCUUUUUAGCUUUUUAUGGCAUUUUUUUUAAAAAGCGCUGUCUUUUAUCUUUGUAUCCAAAAUUAUUUUGAUCCAAAAUCACUUCACAAUCAGUGCACACAACAACAAAACAUAUUCAAAUACCAUAAGCAGUUCACACAAUCAGUAGAACAGAAAUCAGAACUCUGUAACUUUAUUAAUAUAUAUGUAACUCUGUAACUCUGUAAUUUACAACCUAAUUAACUACAUUCAGAUACGUAUAUAUAUAUAACCUAAUUUACAACCUAAACUACAUUCAGAUCCAUAUGCAUGUUCAUAUAUUGUGUCCUAUGAUCAUUUACAUAUAAUAACUAACAGAAUAUACAUUAUAUGCACUAGCUACCAUAUAAUAUUCAGAUCCCUUGCCCAGCAGCAAGCUAUUUCCCAGAAAAUCAAAUAAUUUUCAUGUCAAGCACGUACUGACACCAUUCUUCCUUUAAUUCCAUCAGAUCUUCCUCAGAAUAUGAUGGACUGGAAUUGGCAAAGUACUGCAAUAUAAAAAUUGAACAUAUUAUAUUAAGUUAGUAUCAAAUAUAUAGAUAAUUUAUAUAUGAAAAUCAUAUAAUGCAAAUACCGUACCGUUUCUGGGAUAAUAGUUUUAUUCUUCUCAACAAUCUCCUUCAUGAAUCUCAAUACGUAGUACCCACAGUCGAUGUUAUUUGUUUGACGAGGGCACUUUAUUGAGAUCCAUGUAAUGUUAUUAGACUUCUGCUUCGACACUUUAGCACCUCUUUGAGCUCGAUAAACUUUUAAGGCACUAUCGAAUGAAUAAAUGUGAUUAUUAGAGCAUGAAUAUUUAAAUAUAUAUAUAUGUAAGAAAUAAAUGAAUAUUACUUACGUGUCGAGCAUAUUCUUUAUUCCGGGGUGAUUGGUGUAAUCGCCGUGCACGGGAUCCAAAUAGUAUAUCACUUCAGAGACCGCAUUGAUUGCAAAUAGCACCCAAUGUGCCCUACAACAACAAAAAAUUGGUUAAGCAAUUUUGUUUAUAGACAACUAAUAAAUUAAAUUCUCAUCAAUUAAAAAAGAUAAAAUUACGUACCCUGAAUUAUAUGGUGCCAAGAACAAUUUAUCACUUUCUUUAUUUCUUAAAAACAUAUCUACAAUGUAGUGUUUUACAUUGUCUGGAUCGAGUUUGAACAUCGACAUCUUAUGCGGAGACAAGAAUGAGUAUUUAUUUGACAGUUUCCUCGUGCACACGACCUUCUCGUACAAAAACCUUCAAUGAAAAUUUUAAACUAGAUUAAUUACCAAUACAUUUAAUUAAUUACAAAUAAAUGCAAUUAAAAGUAUUUUUUACCUUAUGUACAAGCUGAUUACAGUAACACUCAGCUCCUUAUGUUCGAGAAGAUCGUACAUUUGCUCCUUUUCGAGGUAUUCAAUAUACUCAUCUCCAAAGAUGUCUUGAUUCAUUUGUACAAUGGGCGAAUCGUUGCUGCUGCCCAUGUUCCUUUUUAUUUGGAUGUCAAGACACGCCCCGUAUUUACCAAGGCGUGGCUGACUUUUAUUAGGAGCAGCAGCAGCAGCGACCGAUUUUCCCCGAUCCAGAUUUUUUGUUGCUGCAAGUUUUGCAGCUUUAUUACCCUCCAGCCUUUGUAGUUUGGCAGCCCUAUUAACCUCCAAUUUUUGAGGUCUGCUGCCUUUUUUUGGCUGUAGGGGUGGUUUAUUUAUUUGGACCUACAAAAAUGAGGUAAAAUGUUAGUUUAUUGAAUCUGAAAAAAUAAAAAACCUUAGGCAAUAAAUGUGACAAACCUUUUCGGGAGAUGUAACUGAUUUGUCCUUGGGAAUCUUUUUUUCGAGGGCAACAAGGUGUGUGGGCCAUGCCACGUAACUGCCAAUAGCGUCGCUUAAGAACUUCAUAUCUCCAUCGUUGUCCGGUAUGGGCAACGGUGCAGUUGGUUCGAAAGCAACCGUAGGCGAUACUUUGACAUGGCCCGCGGGGAUCGGAAUAUUGUGCAAUACUUCUCCCGAAGUAUUGUGCAAUAUUCCUUUUCCCACCUUCCGUUGAGUCGGCGAGGACAAGUAUAGGACACAUGUAGUGACACCCUACAUCAAUAGUUAAAACAUAAGUACAGUUAAUAUAUAAGUUUGUUUAAUACAUAAGUAAUUACAUAAGCAAGUAAGUAGUAAGUAAUUAAUUACCUCGGGAAUACUCUUCAAACCGACGUUGCAACUCCCGGUUUCACUCUCCAUUUGUAUUUCAGGUUGGAGCUGAACCGGAAGUUGCUUGUCUUUAUUCGUAUUCACCAAGAGUGCCACUUGCUCCGAUAAGAUUCUGAGCUUCUCUAAUACUUCCUCGUUGGAAGGUUUUUGGCGCUUCUCUUGAGGAAAAAAGCUUUUGGGAGUUACGCCAAAUCCUUUCCCCCUCACUCGACCGGAAUACUCAGGGACAUUAAACACUUUCCCAAGAAUGUCCCUGCACGUAUCCUUGUUGCCCUCUUGAGUUUCAGAACUUUGUUCAAUAGUUUCCUAAAAUACAUGUAACAUUAAAAAGAUAAGUUCAAUAGCAUUUUUAAAAUACAAUAUUAAAAAAUAUUAAAGUGAUAAUAUACUUACACAAAGUUCUACAACUUUCUUGACAUUUUCAUUAUCAACCACUCCUUCUUUGUUAACACGCGCUUCCUUCCAUAAGAUAUGACGACCCAAGGGUUGAUCGGCUUGGGUGUCUUUUCUCUAUUCGUUAAAAUCAUAAACAAAAUAAUACAAAUUAGUUACACACUAUAGUUUAUAAUACAAAUUACAAGUGAUGUUUAAUUACUUACAAUUUUUUGUUCAAGGCGUGCAUAUCCCAUACGUGAUUUCUUGUAUGGGUGUUUUGGGUUGCUUGCCCGUUCGCGAUUUGCCGUACUAAUAUUCUAUAUAAAAAAAAAAUUGCAAUUGUGUAAAAAUUUAAAAUACGCUACGAAUAUGAAUAAUAAAACACAAAUGCUAAUAAAUUAAUAACUUACGACAAACGCCGGGUCAGAACGUUUGGAAACAAAUGCACUCCAUUCAUCCUUUGAUAUAUAAUGUUGAUAUAUCUUUGGAGGUUCAGCAUUUGUGUUUCCUUCUCUAUCUUUUAGAUAGAAAUUUGAGAGAUGGGAUCUAAAUCCACGAUGGAUUUUCCCAGCAACUCUCAAAACAUAUGACUUUCGUUCCUCAUCAAGAACAAAAGUGGUCUGCAAUGAAAACAAUUAUAAGUAAUGUAUUUUACAGAAAAAAAAUUAUAAAUGACAAAAGAGUAGAUCAAAAUAUUUACUUGAAUGUCAUUCCAGAUGAUAUCUUUGGCAUCCUUCAACGCCUUAUCUCUCCAGUUGUCUAUUGUUAUUGGGACAUUUUGACGAACAACAGCCCCAAUGUAGCUUACAAACAUGGAGCUGUUGGGGUCAACUGGCUGACCACUCUCGUUCCAGCCAACCUAAUAAACUCAUAUAGUAAGUACAUGCCCUAAACCCUAAAAAAAGAUAAAAAAACACACAGCAAACAGAGUAUAUAUAGUAUACCUCAAAUUUAAUGCCACUGCUCCGUGCUUUAAUCACCCUUUGCAUGAUAGUUGCACCACGUUUGACUUCUUUUUCGUAAGUCUUAGAGGUGCCAACUUCUUCAUUUUGAACUUCUAAAUCUUUGUUUGUAUCCAUUUAACUACAACAAGUUCAACAUGCACUUUAGUAUAACAUCAACAAGCUCAACAUGGAUCAUGCAUUAUUAUAAACAAACUCAACAUGUAUCAGUAUAUCUUAAAAAAGCUCAACAUGCAUUUUAAUGAUUACAAAAAAUUUAUAACAUCAAUACCUGAAUAAUGGUUCGAAGAAAGAUGAAAUCUAAAGAAAAGAGGGAACGCAGAAAGUUCACAGAAAUAUGGUUCAAAGAAAUAGGAUAUUGAAGAAAUACGUAAUGAGGGUUACGUAUUUCAAUGAAAAUAUAUUGUGUGAAAUGGGAGAGAUGAUCUUGGAUGGAAAUAAGGUUCGAAAUGAAGGAGAUGAUCGUGGAAAUAAGGUUCGUAAAGGACGGGAUGAUAGGGUUUGCAAAAGAAGAGAAGAAAUGAAGGUUGAGAUGACAAUACCUGAAUAAUGAUGGUUCGAAGAAAGACGAAAUGCAAAGAAAAGAGGGUUUGCAGAAAGUUCACAGAAAUAUGGUUCAAAGAAAAGAGGGAACGGUAUUGAAGAAAUACGUAAUGAGGGUUACGUAUUUCAAUGAAAAUAUAUUGUGUGAAAUGGGAGAGAUGAUCUUGGAUGGAAAUAAGGUUCGAAACGAAGGAGAUGAUCGUGGAAAUAAGGUUCGUAAUGGACGGGAUGAUAGGGUUUGCAAAAGAAGAGAAGAAAUGAAGGUUGAGAUGAUAGUGAAAGACCUCCUUGUGUUAUUAUGUUAUUUGAAUACCUUUUACAGCGCUUUUACACAUAAGCGCUCUAAAAUGUCUCUUUAUCUUAAUUUUAAGAGGCUCUUUUACAGCGCUUUUCCCAAAUAAGCGCUGUAAAAGAACUCCGUGUGUUAUUAUGUUAUAUGAAUGUUUUUUAAAGCCUUUUACAGCGCUUUUCCACAUAAGCGCUCUAAAAUGUCUCUUUAUGUUAAUUUUAAAAGGCUCUUUUACAGCGCUUUUUCCAAAUAAGCGCUGUAAAAGGCCUUAUUGUUUUUGUGUUUUGUUAUGUUAUGUUAUUUUUUAAACAAGCUCAACAUGCAUGCAAAACCCACAUAGUAGUAACUGGUCACCACAAAAAUCCCUUCCUCUUCACCAAACUCUUCUCCUUUUAUGCAUCUUCUUCACAAACAUCAAAGCUUACUCUUUCACAAUUCAAUCUCCACCUCAACACCCUUUUUAUCUCUUUACAUUCUCUUUCCUUCUUAAAUCGAAACUUAAUUGGUAUUCAGGAUCAUUGCCAUGUUGCGAAAAAUGGGUUUGUGUCUGGUGUUUUUGGGGAUUCCCAUGAUGCGUACAAGGUGUUUGAAGAAAUGGGUUUGUGUCUGAUGUUUUUUGGAUUCCCAUGAUGCGUACAAGGUGUUUGAAGAAAUGGGUUUGUGUCUGAUGUUUUUUGAAUCCCAUGAUGCGUACAAGGUGUUUGAAGAAAUUAGGUGUCUGAUGAAUAUUAUUUUUAAAGCCAUUUUACAGCGCUUUGGCAAACAAGCGCUGUAAAAUGUCUUUUUUACUCACUUUCAAAAGAGUCGUUUACAGCGCUUUGUGUGAAAAGCGCUGUAAAAGGUAUAAAACACUCAUUAUUUUAUUUUUAAAAGGAUCUUUUACAGCGCUUUUUAAGAUAAGCGCUGUAAAAUGUCUCUUUAUUUUAUUUUUGUGUUUGGUUUAUUUGGGUUGGGAUGACAUUAAAAACAUUUUUAUCAUUGUUUAUUGGAUUAAAAAUAUUGUUAUCAUUGUCUUUAUCACAAUACUUUAGGAGAUGAUGAAUUAUUAGAAAUGAGUAUUCUGAAGAAUCUAUAUAUAUAUAUGCACUGAGCAAAAGAGAAUCUCUCUAUUCAGUUCAGUUCAGUUCAUGUAAAUUACUAAUUUAUAUUCAGUUCAGUUCAUGUAAAUCAAGCUAAAUAUAAAACACUCAUUGUUACAUGAACUUGGUAUAAAACACUCAAAUCAAGCUAAAUAUAAGCAGAAAAUAAAUUAAUCAGAAAAUAAAUUAAUCAGAACUUAGUAUAAAACACUCAAUUCAGAUUACAUGCAUAUUUACAAUAACACAGUUCAGAUUACAUGCAUAGCUUAUAUAAAACAAUUAAACAUAUAUAUACAUUAAGAUGCCCUUCUUCUUUUCCUGGUGACAUUCACAUUUGUUUGUCCAUUUACAAUACGAAACGAUGGAUUAAUCCAAAUUCCCUCAUCAUGAUCAUCUCUAAGAUAUAAACCAUCAUCAGUUGAAUCAAUUUCAUGUGGUUGUUGUGAUGUUGCAAAUAAAAGAUCAUUACCAACAUCUUCAUCAUUAUUGUUAUCAUCACUUAUUUUAUUGGUCGAUAGGACAACAGACCAUUUAUCAUUAGAAGGAUCAGUGACAUAAAACACUUGUUGAGCUUGCGACGCUAAAAUAAAAGGCUCGUCUUUGUAUCCCACCCUAUUAAAAUCGACAAGCAAGAAUCCUGACUCAUCAAUCCGAACGCCAUUAUUAUUAUCGACCCACUUGCAACCAAAUAUGGGAACACGAAACAUUGUGUAGUCUAACUCCCAUAUGCGCUCGAUAACCCCAAAAUAUGAUAGAUUUGCAUAUAUUGGGUUUUUGUCUUUUGCACUUGAGACAUGCAUCGCUUCAGCUACGAGAGUGACUCCACUAUUUUGCAUAGUGGUCUGAUCAUCUUGUUCUUUGGUAUAAAAUGUGUAGCCGUUAAUAACAUAACCAGUGUAAGAAAAGACAUGUAAGCUCGGACCAUUUGCUAGCCACCUCAAUCUAUUUGAAAUUGAUCCGGGGUCUAUAUCAAAUUUUGACAUUAUGUGAUUUUUUAACCAUGUUACAAAACUUCGAUUGUGCUCUCGAGUUAUCCAAUUUUGAUUCCUAUUCAUGUUCAAACGAGAUAACUGAUCAAUGUGUAUUGUAACAUACGGUUGAACCUCAUCAUCAUUGUGCAGAACAUACAAUUGUGCCUGCUCCCAUUCUGUCCUUGAUAUAGUCAGUAGUCUCCUUCCAGUUAUCCCUUCUCCUGAUAGUCUUCCCGAAUGACGAGACAUGGGAAGCCCUAUGGAUUCAACAUUGGACAGAUAUUCAGUACAAAAUUCAGCAGCCUCUUCAACAAUGUAUCGUUCAGCAAUACAACCUUCUGGUCGACUUCUACUUUUUACGUACCCUUUUAAUAUUUUCAUAUAUCGUUCUAUCGGAUACAUCCAUCUCAUAUAAGCUGGCCCACAAAGUUGUGUCUCCUUAACCAGAUGAACAGUAAGGUGAACCAUUAUAUCAAAAAACGAUGGUGGGAAAUACAUUUCAAGCUCACACAAAGUAACAACAAUUUCCCUCUGCAAUGUCGGUAAUUUCUGAGGGUCGAUCACUUUACUACAAAUUUCCCUGAAGAAGAAACAUAAUCUAGUUAAGGCUAGUCGAACUUUUUCAGGUAAAAUGGAACGUAUACCUAUUGGUAGCAAAUGCUCCAUUAUAAUAUGACAAUCAUGGGUCUUCAAACCUUUUAACUUGAGGUCUUUCAUACAAACCAAAUUUUUAAUGUUCGAAGAGUAUCCUUCUGGAACUUUAACUUCGUGUAGAAAUUUACAUAAAACAAUUUUUUCCUUUCUAGAUAGAGUAUGAGCGGCUGGAGGUAGAUAUGUGCGAUUUCCUUUCUUUACUGGAGCCAGUUCAUUUCUUAUUCCCAUAUCGACCAAGUCCAAUCUUGCAUUGACGCCAUCUUUAGACUUUCCUGGAACAUUGAGUAACGUACCAAUAACACUUUCAAAUACAUUUUUUUCAAUAUGCAUCACAUCGAGGAAAUGUCUUACAUACAAUGACUUCCAAUAUGGCAAUUCAAAGAAAAUUGACUUUUUCUUCCACCCAGUUUUCACCAGCUCUCCCGCAAAAGGUUUGCCAAAUUUAUUGGUCAAACCUUGUACUUUUUCAAGUAUUUGAUAUCCAGUCGGUGCUAAAGGAGCUUUACCUUCCUCUGAUUUUCCAUUGAAUGCAUUUCUCCACCCACGAUACUGAUGACUAUAAGGUAAAAAUCUACGAUGUCCAAGAAACACAUUCUUCUUACAAUGUUUCAACCGCAUCCAAUUUGUACUCUCUUCACAUAUAGGACAUGCACACUGACCUUUAAUGCUAUAUCCUGAUAAAUUACCAUAUGCUGGAAAAUCAUUAAUUAUGCCGAACAACAUAACCCUUAAAUUGAAACAUUCUUUCUUAUACCCAUCAUAAACUUCCACACCUGUCUCCCACAUACUUUUUAAAUUUUCGAUUAGAGGAGUCAAGUAUACGUCGAUAUCAUUCCCCGGUUGUUUGGGUCCAGAAAUUAACAGAGACAACAUCAUAAACUUACGCUUCAUACAUAACCAUGGAGGUAGGUUAUAUAUUACCAAAAUCACAGGCCACGUGCUAUGUGAGAUGCUUUGAAGACCAUGUGGAUUCAUUCCAUCAGUAGAAAGUGCAAGUCUUAGAUUUCUUGACUCUAUCCCGAAUUCAGGAUACUCGUGAUCAAUUUUUGCCCAUUGUGGGGAAUCUGCAGGGUGUCGAAACAUUCCAUCUCUAAUUCUUUCAUCUGCAUGCCAUGUCAAGUGUUUUGAAUCUUCUUCACUGCGAUACAUGCGCCUAAAUCUUGGUAUUAUAGGAAAAUACCACACGACUUUUGCUGGAGUAGAUUCUUUCUUCUUAUAUCGAGAGACAUUGCAUUUCGGACACGCCUUAAGUAGUUCAUAUUCGUUUCGAAAUAAAAUGCAAUCGUUAGGACACGCAUGAAUCCUUUCGUAACUCAUUCCAAUAGAACACAAAAUCCGUUUAGCCUCGUAGGUCCGACUGGGAAGUUCAUUAUCAUCUGGCAACAUAUCUUUUAUGAGUGUUAAUAAUUCCGUAAAGCUUUUAUCAGACCAUCCAUUACUCGCUUUUAAGUUGUACAACUUUAAUAUCGCUGACAGUCUUGUGAAUUUAGUACAACCAUUAUAUAAUUCUUUCUCUGCAUCACUCAACAAACUUUCAAACAUUUUAGGACAAUCUCGAAGAUCUUCUUCAACUGCUUUUGCAAUCUCAUCAACUCGGUCCGGCUCAUAUGUAUCUGUAUCGAAAUCAGUUGAAGCAUAUGUAGAACUAUUCUCAAAAUUAAUGUUUCCUUUUUUUUUCUCACCAUGUCUUAUCCAACAUGUGUAGCUUUGAUCAAUUCCAUUACAUACUAGAUGUCCUUCUAAUUCAUCUUCUCUAACACGUUUUCCAAAACAACAUUUUAAACAAGGACAAACUACUCUAUUUGGAUCUUUUGCAUUCUUCACUGCAAACUCAACAAACUCCUUCACUCCAAUUUCAUACUCUUUUGACAAUCGAUUGGCUGAAAUCCAUUUCCUAUCCAUAUUAUACCACCUAUAUAAAUGCAGUAACAAAAAUAAUAAGCUUUCAAAACAUAUCAACAAGUUUCAAAAAGAAACCAAUAUCAACUAACAAUUUCAAAACAGAACAGAUCAUGUGGUAUGAGUUUUUGACAAUUUUUGACAAUUUCAAAACAUAACAGAUCAUGUGUAAAAAAUACCUUAGACAACGUAGAUGGCCGCACAGUACGUAGAGGAUAUUAGGGUUCGCAACGUAUAUAAUUAUUUGAAAGAUGUAGAGGAUAUGAGGGUUUCCAACGUAUAUAAUUAUUUUAAAGAUGUAUUUUACAGCGCUUGUGAAAAACGCGCUGUAAUAGGUAGUUAAAUUCAAUGAAAGCGCAUGUGUUUUACAGCGCUUGUGAAAAACGCGCUGUAAUAGGUAGUUAAAUUCAAUGAAAGCGCAUGUGUUUUACAGCGCUUGUGAAAAACGCGCUGUAAUAGGUAGUUAAAUUCAAUGAAAGCGCAUGUGUUUUACAGCGCUUGUGAAAAAAGCGUUGUAAUAGGUAGUUAAAUUCAAUGUAAGCGCAUGUGUUUUACAGCGCUUGUGAAAAAAGCGUUGUAAUAGGUAGUUAAAUUCAAUGUAAGCGCAUGUGUUUUACAGCGCUUGUGAAAAAAGCGCUGUAAUAGGUAGUUAAAUUCAAUGAAAGCGCAUGUGUUUUACAGCGCUUGUGAAAAAAGCGUUGUAAUAGGUAGUUAAAUUCAAUGAAAGCGCAUGUGUUUUACAGCGCUUGUGAAAAAAGCGCUGUAAUAGGUAGUUAAAUUCAAUGAAAGCGCAUGUAUUUUACAACGCUUGUGAAAAAAGCGAUGUAACUGAUACGCGAAAGCGCUUCCUUUUACAGCGCUUUUUUGACAAGCGCUGUAAAAGCCUUAUAACGUGAUGCGCAAACGUUAUAUGACCUACUACAACGCUUGUUUUACAGCGCUUUGAAUCAAAAGCGCUGUAAUAGGUUCCGUUAUUUUUAAAAUAUAAUUACAACAGCGCUUGUGUUUAGCAAGCACUGUAAAAUGGGCGCUGUUAAAUGUCAUUUUUGGCGUAGUGAAUAUAGCAAAGUGGAAGCAAAAGCAAGACAUCAAAAAAACCUUUAAAUACAUAAAGUUAGGAGAUUGUUUAUAUAACCUUUCGAAAUGGGUCUUAUUAUGUAAACAGGAGGUAGUUCACCUGUUAAUAAGAGAAACAACGUGAUUAAUAGCAAAAGACAAAAAAUUCUUUGGUAGUUUAGAGUGGAAAAUAAGUGAUCUAGUCACAUUAAGAAGAUGAGGAUGUUUCCUUUCAACAAUUAAGUUUUCUUGGGGUGUAUCAACACAAGAGGUUUGAUGCAAUAUGCUCAAACUAGAAUAAAAAAGAGGCAUAUUGAAUUCAAGACCAUUAUCAUUGCUGAUUUUCUAGACUUUUGUAUUGAAUUGUAUUUUAACAAAGGAAACAAAGUUUUGAAGGAGCAUAUGAGUUUCAGAUUUAGCAUUCAUUAAAAAUAACCAAGAAAAUCAUGAAUAAUCGUCAACAAUAGUUGGAUAAUAUUGAUGACCAUCAAAAGAAGGAACAUUAAUAGGUCCUCAAAUAUCAACAUGUAUAAGGCUAAAAAUAUGUAAAGAAACAUUUUCACUACGCGGAAAAGGGAUUUUAGCAUUUUAUGCCCAAAUAAAAAGAGUCACAAAUCAUAUUUUUAUUAACUGAAAUGUAAUAAAAUCGUUUACACAUUUGUUGUAACAGGGUUAUUGAUGGAUGACCUAACCUAAAAUGUCAAACAUCAAAUUUAUUUGGUAUAGUGGCAUUAACAAAGGUAGUAUAAUGGUGAUUAGAAACAGGAGCAAAUUCAGUAGAAAAAACCAUAGCAGAGAUAUAAUAUGAUCAAGAAUAUAAAGGCUAUUACAAUGCUCCACAUGUCCUAUCGUCUUAUGGGUAUGCAAAUCCUGAAUUGUAUAAAAAUUCUUAGAAAAUAAUAGUUUGUAAUCCAAAUCAAGAGUGAGUUUUGAAAUAGAUAUUAAACUAAAAUUGAAUUGAUGAAUAAACAACCUAUUUUUCAAGUAAAGAUCAGAAGUAAAGUAAAAAUGUCCUAAAAAAUGCGUAAGAAUAUACGACCCAUUUGGAAAAAUAAUAAAAAUUGGUUCAAUUUGUUUCAUUGAAUAAAAACAUUUGAUAAAUGGACAAACAUGAUCUGAAGCCCCCGAAUCCAUAAUCCAUAGAGAAAAAGGAUUAGAUACGAAACCUGUAUUAGAAAUACUUGAUACUACGUGAUUGGAUUAAUCUGAAAUAGAAUUCUUGGUUUCGAAAGAAGUUACAUCAACAUAUUUAGAAUUAUGUAGCAGAUUAAUCAAAAUAUUAUAAUAUGUUUUGCUAAGAUGAUUGUUGAUUGUUGGAAUCGUGUUGCUGUGUAGGCUAGGAGAGAGAAGGAUUCUUAGAACCAUUUAUUGAAGACGAAUUCAAAGAUUGUUAUUUACGAUAUCAUAGUGGAAAGCCAUGUUUGAAAUAACAUGUGUCUACAAUGUGAUUAUUCUUAUGACAUCGAGUAUAAAACAUGGAGGGCCGAGGCUGACCACGACGAUGAUGGUAUUGCCUGCGACCUUGACCUGAAUUUUUGGAAGUAUUGAUAUUAAAAACAACAUAAGUAUCAGGAGGAUUAUGGUUUGAAUUGGGGACAAGGUCUUAUUGAAAAACGAAAGAAUGCACCUUGUUAAUAUAAGGUAAAGGAUCCAUGAAUAAAAUCUGUGUGUGAAUGUUAUUGUAAUUUUUAUUCAAACCUUUAAGAAAACAAGUGAUAUACUCUUGAUGCUUGAAAUAAUGAACUGUUGUGUUGAGCUUGCAAGAACGAGGAAUAGGGCAUAUGCAUGAUUGUGUUGGGCACAAAUCCUCCAAUUCACCCCAAAGAAUCUUCACAUUGGUGAAAUAGGUAGACAAAGAAUGUUCACCUUGUUUGAUUGAAUGAAGAUCACGAAUUAGAUUGGAAAAUCGAAAAUUAUUUCCUUGAAUGAAACGAUCACGAAGAUCAUACCAUAACUCUAAUGCUGAAUCAAUGCAAAUGGAGAACGUUAAAAACUCAAUAUUGAUUUUGAUUGUGAAAACGGAGAACAUCCUUGGUUCUGGAAACAGAAAAUGGAGAACAUUCUAGGUUAAUUAAAAUCAAUAGUUUAGUUUAUAUGUUUAACUUGAUAAACAAAAGGAUUGAAAGUAAAUAGAGAUAAGAAGAUAGAUGUCACAUAAUGAUAUAUCUUAGUUCACCUAACUCAGGCUAUGUUCAGUGUAACACCCCGUUUUUCAAAGCGAGGGUAUUUUUUUUUUUUAAAAGUAAUUAAAAACGAACGAAGAAAUAAAUCAGGAAAUGCUUUUGGAUAAAUAAUUGAGUCAUUAUAAUUUACGCAGCGGAAAAGUUUCUCCAAUUAUAAAUCCAAAACAUUUUUACAUAAACAUCAAAUGGUACAUGGAACCCAUUCAAAGAUGAUAUCAAACUGAUAAUAUUUAUAUAAGUACAGUUUUCCAAAACUAAAAUACUCCAAACCAAAGAGAAGGACCCCUAGUCCCUAUACAUCAUCCUAAUCUGAUCAUCCUACCAAAAACUAUACACCCUGAGUAAUCUCCACGCGCCCCGUGAGAUCCUCCUAACACAACCGCAGUCAAGCAUUCCCAUCUCCAUCCCUGUCCGUAGGGUACGAACCAGUAGGGCCGUCCUGACUCUCAUCUGAGGGCAAAGCCCAGAUUUCCACAAUAGUGUAAAGGGUCACCAACCAGAAAAUAACAGAUAACACAUAGCAAUUAAGUUUUUGAAUGCUCAAAACAACUUUUCAACUAAGCAUGCACCUUAACAGGAUUUUCAAUGUGCGAAAAGUUCAUACAUUACAUUGCCAAUGAAAAUGAAGGUAAAAUGCAGUUCUCGAUCUCCUAAUUAACACAUGAUAAAACAAGACAUGGAUAGAUUCAUGAGCAAUAAAUCAUACAACUAAAACUGAGGAUUUUCACUGAGCCAAUCGAUUGGGCAAUCGAUUGGGGUGAAGAUUUUUAAUGAAAACAGAAUCCUGGGCUGAAUUCAAUCGAUUGGUAAAUCGAUUGAUUGGUUCCCACAACUUAACACUUAGCAAUUCCUACGCGAUUACUACGACACACGAAGGUUCGAUAACCAUCAUACUCACACACAAUACACAACACAUAGCACUUAACACCUUCAUCUCAGUUAUCACGAUAAAUCAAAAUUCGAAUCACUCAAUCAUAAACUCAAAUCAAACAUGACUCGCGUGCCAGGCACCCUAAUGCAAUGCGUAUAUGCCAAAAUGCAUGGACUCGGAAUUCCAAACCAAAACCCUCCUCGAAGGGCCGUAAAUCAUAAUUGUACCGCCUAUCGCAGGCCAAAGUACCAAUUACCGAGGUGCCACCUAUCACGGGUCAGCACGAUUUACUAAAAUGCGUAAAUCAUAAACGUACCACCUAUCACGGGUCAGUACAGUUACCAUGGUGUCACCUAUCACGGGUCAACUCGAUUUUCUAAAUAGUAACUCGUAAACGUACCACCUAUCACGGGUCAGUACAGUUUACCGAGGUGUCACCUAUCACGGGUCAACACGAUUUACUAAAAGAAAAAGCGGGAAUCGUAAACGUACCGCCUAUCACAGACCAGUACUGUUUACCUAGGUGCCACCUAUCACGGGUCAGCACAAUUCACCAAAAAUGUAAAUCGUAAAUGUACCACCUAUCACGGGUCAGUACAGUUACCAUGGUGUCACCUAUCACGGGUCAACACGAUUUACUAAAAGAAAAAGCGGGAAUCGUAAACGUACCGCCUAUCACAGACCAGUACUGUUUACCUAGGUGCCACCUAUCACGGGUCAGCACAAUUCACCAAAAAUGUAAAUCGUAAAUGUACCACCUAUCACGGGUCAGUACAGUUACCAUGGUGUCACCUAUCACGGGUCAACACGAUUUACUAAAAUGUAAAUCGCAAACGUACAACCUAUCACGGGUCCGUACAGUUUACCAAGGUGUCACCUAUCACGGGUCGACACAAUUUACCAAAUGAAAUGCAUGAGCAUACACAGACUCCAUUCACAACAAUCGUUAAGCAAAUGCAGAUAUUAAAAGAUUCCCCAUUUUUAAUACCCAUUUAACUUAAACGACUUUCAAACAACAUUAAUUAAAUAAGUCAUUAAGAGAUUCCCCGUUCUUAAUACCGAUUUAACUUAAUGAUUUUCAAAACAAAACGUUAAGCAAACAGUCAUAUUAAGAGAUUCCCCAUUCUUAAUACUCAUUUACCGAAACGAUUUUCAAAAACGAUAGUUAAGUAACCGAGACAUUAAGAGAUUCCCCAUUCUCAACGCCCAGUUAACUUAAACAUUUUCCUCAAAUACACAUUAAGUAAACCGAGGUAUUAAAAGAUUCCCCAUUUUUAAUACUCGUUUAACUCUAAUGGUUUUCAAAUUCCACAGAAACAAAUUCAAACAUACUUUCACAUUCAAACCAUAAUUCACAACAACCACACCAAUUAACAAACAUCAAGUACGAACACACCAAAUACAACGAACACAAAUCACGCAACAUAACACCCAGAUACAUCAAAUUUCAUUUACCCAUAAUCAUACACAAUGACAUUCAAAUUCAUUUACCACGAAACAUUCAUCACUAUAAACAAAACCUAACUCUAAGGUUUUUACCCAUAACGCACUAGUUUCGUUUUUCCCCAAAUCGAUACAUUUAACCCUAACAAAUUCCUUCCCACACAACUACAGAUAAGUCCCUAAUGCAAGCUAGAAGUUUGGAAGGAGCCCUUACCUCAACGUUAGCUUUAUCGUGCGUUUCCGGUACCGCGAGAAAUUCCGGUAAAAUCUCCGCUCGCAACGCCGCUUCCAAAUUAGUUCACUAGCACCGUAGCGUGGUGGUGAGCAACUUUCCCUUCUAUCUCUUCGAGAAAUGAGGUUUGGAUCUAGGAGAAACGGAGGGGUUUGUGUUUGGAUCUCAAAACCGUUUUUCUUCGUUUUCGAAUCAAAGAGGAAGAGUGGAGUUGCGAAAACCUUGAUCUAACUCACACCCGACCUUGGGUCACUAGCUUUGAAGAAAAGGAAGCAACGAAAACGAAAAAUGGAGAAGGAUGGAUUUUUGGUUUUUCACGUGAGAUGUUCAGAGGAAGGAGAUGGAAUUCGAGAUUUUCCUUCCUUUCUAUUUCUUUCCUUUGUUUUUCCUUUCUUCCUUUUUCCUUCCUUCCUUUAUAUACUAUUUUCUUUUCCUUUUCCUUCCUUCUAGUUUUCCUUUCUUUUUCCCCCCAAACAAACAUAUAUAAAUAUAAUAAAUAUAACUUAACAAAUAUCUCAAAAUCUAGAUAUUUAUUAAAUUACCGUUUCACCCGAAACGCCUUAAAUUCUUCGUAAAGGAUUUUCCGCAGUUAAAUUCAAUUUAUUUAUCGACGAGAAAUUCUAAUUGGCAUCGAAAUAUCUUUUUGAUUAGAAAACUCCAAAAUAUUAUUAACUUUGGCUUAAAAGCCUCCGAGCCAAAAUCCAAAAUAUACCAAAAAUACAUAAAAGGGUACUUUAAAAUUAUGGGUCUUACAUUCAGUCCUUACAAUUGUGAUAUUUUCCACAAAGCGUUCAAAUGGAGAAAAUUCUUGGUUUUACACAGUUUUGUUCAGAUUAACCUUGAUAUGUAACAACAAUUCAUUUCCACUUAGAAAUGAUUCAAUUAGGUCACUUAUCAAUCUUUAGAGAGGAUUUUACAAUUCACCUUUUAUCCAUAAAAAUGAUUUUCUACAAACUAUAAACAACUAUUAUAGUCUUGAGUUUACAAUAAUGAUUUAAAGAGAUUGGUAGAAUCUGAGUAUGUUCAAAUCGUGUUUGAGAAUACAUUCUUGAUAAAAGAAAUACAUAUAACGGUUCUGAUAUUUUAAAAAGAAAACAUAAUUGAAUCUUUUGUUUAUGAUUGAGAAGUUUUCAAGUAUAUAAGUGUAUGUAAGUGAUGGAUUUCUUAACACUUGAAGUUCUAUUUUUCCUUGAACUUGAGGUUCUUUUUAUAGGCUUCAAGGAGGAUGAUGACAACUACUUUGAUCUUUGGAAAAUAUCCAGCUGUCAUGUGUCAAAUUUGACAAAAUUCGAUAACUUUUAAACCAUGAAUGUUUCUUGACUAGCUUCUCAUUCUUGACCGUGAUUUAUGGUCCUUUAUGCUCAUAGACAUCUCAAAGAUGUGUUCAAUGUAUUCAGAUCGAGAAUGUCUUUGAUUCGAUCAAAACAAGCUAGAGAAGGAUGUACACAUGUUGGAGAUUGAUUGUAAAUAUGCUGGAAAAUGAUGUUAUUUGUAACAUCCCGCUUUUUCGAGACAUUAACUUACAAAAUUCUAAAUGUAAAAAUACAAAUUCAUUUUUAUUUAUUUAUGAUUAUCUUAAAUACCCAUUUACCUUAAUAUCAAUUAAUAAUAUUUUUAGUUAUAUUUUCAAAAAUAAUGAAUCAAAGUAUUUACAAUCACUAAAAGUAAAUUUAAUACGUUAAACAAAAGAAACUCAUAGAGCCAAAACUAUUGAUGUUUUACUACUCAAACAUAAAUCCUAGUUGGUAAUAAACUUUGGAGUUGUGGAAAACUCACCCAAUAAAUCUAACACCCCACAAAAGUACCUCAAAACCUCCAACUAUAUACUUCCUCGCAUUUCUCCUAUUAGGUUGACUAUAAGCUCAAGUAACACUAUAUGUGACGUCGUGUCAAAUGUAAGGGUCAUCUCUAAAAUAUUUUACCAAUAAAUAAAUAACAAUCAAAAUAAAACAGUACAUUACCUACUCAGCCAACAAAAAGGUACAAUAACAAUGAAAAUAUAACAGUACAAUGUUUACAUAAUUAAUAACAUUAAUUCACUCAAACGACCACCUACAGUGACGAUACGAAUAUAACAUUACGAUAUCUACAUAAUUAAUAACAUUAAUUCAUUCAUCCAAACGACUACGAGGUACAAUAACAAUAAAAAUAUAACAGUACGGUUAUAUUUUAUAAAAAUGAAGUGAUUAAUUUUAUAAAAAUGUCAUAGAUAAAUUAUUAGGAGUGCAACAAGACAAUCAAUAUCACCAAAUGAAUGUGUUAUUAUUUUAAUUUUCAAUGAAAAAUUAAUUGUUGUUUUUUAAGUUUAUUUUUUAAUUAAUAUAAUAUACCUUAUUCUUAAGUUACAAUGAGAAAAUAAUGUUACAAUGAGAAAAUAAUAUCUAAUGGUUGGGUGAUGAGUACUAAAUGACAAAAACUAAUUUUUUUGCCUAAAACAAACAUGACAAUUUUAGUGAUAAAAAUUAAUGUAGCGAGUUGAACAAAAUAAUAUGACAUGUAACAUUGUAAUCAAAAGGCAAGUUUAAGUGAAAGAUGGUUCAUCAUAUAUAAGUAGACCAUACUUUAUUUAACAUAGUAAGUGGGAAACAAAACAAUUCAUAGAUGCAUGUUUCUAGUUUUCAUGGAGAUUCCAUGUUUCCAUGUCCUCUUUUCCUACCUUUGUCUCCGUUAUCGGGGUUUCCUCGAUUGUCGUCUUCUUCAACGGGUGGCUCACUAUUGCCGUAUCCCAUGCCACCGCCACCAUAGUUGUAUGCCAUGCCCUGUACCCAUUCUGAUGCCCAACCCAAUGCCAAAUCUCUCAAAGUUCUCCAAUCUACAAACCUUCUUAUUAAAGUACUAUAUUCGGUUUCCUCAGCUGUCACAAUAGUCAUAAGAAGGGGAACACACAGAAAGAAUACUAAGAUAAAAAAUUUUGUUUUCAUCCUUGCUUAAAUUUCCUAAAGUUUGUUGUAAAAUAUGAAUAAUAUCCUCAAAUAUUUAUAGUGGUCACGCAUAGAAAAAAUAAGAUAAUUUUAAAAGACA
rnacentral:lncRNA from 1 species